AGAGUUUGAUCAUGGCUCAGAACGAACGCUGGCGGCGUGGAUAAGACAUGCAAGUCGGACGGGACUUUUCGUUGUAGCAAUACAGUGGAAAGUUCAGUGGCGAACGGGUGCGUAACACGUGGGCAAUUUGCCUUAAAGUGUGGGAUAGCUCGGCGAAAGCCGGAUUAAUACCGCAUGUGGCUACUGGAGACAUCUUCGGGACGCUAAAGGUGGCGCAAGCUACCGCUUUUUGAGAAGCCCGCGGCCUAUCAGCUUGUUGGUGAGGUAACGGCUCACCAAGGCGUUGACGGGUAGCUGGUCUGAGAGGACGACCAGCCACACUGGGACUGAGACACGGCCCAGACACCUACGGGUGGCAGCAGUCGAGAAUUUUUGACAAUGGGGGAAACCCUGAUCGAGCGACGCCGCGUGGAGGAUGAAGGUCUUCGGGUUGUAAACUCCUGUCAUUUGGGAACAAGGCGUAUUUAUUAACUGUAAGUACGUUGAUAGUACCAGAAGAGGAAGAGACGGCUAACUCUGUGCCAGCAGCCGCGGUAAUACAGAGGUCUCAAGCGUUGUUCGGAUUCAUUGGGCGUAAAGGGUGUGUAGGUGGCGCGCUAAGUCGGGUGUGAAAUUUCGGAGCUUAACUCCGAAACUGCAUUCGAUACUGGCGUGCUUGAGGACUGGAGAGGAGACUGGAAUUUACGGUGUAGCAGUGAAAUGCGUAGAUAUCGUAAGGAAGACCAGUGGCGAAGGCGGGUCUCUGGACAGUUCCUGACACUGAGACACGAAGGCCAGGGGAGCAAACGGGAUUAGAUACCCNNGUAGUCC
rnacentral:rRNA from 1 species